rnacentral:rRNA from 1 species
UAUUAUUAAUGAUGUUAAUAAUUUACUUUAAUAUUAAUAGAUAUGAUCUUUAAAUUUUAAUGAUUUGGCGGCAUUUUAGUCUUUUUAGAGGAAUCUGUUCUGUAAUCGAUAAUCCGCGUAGGACCUUACUUGAUUAAAGGUUUAUAUAUCGUCGUUUAAAUAAUUUUUAUAGGAUAUUAAAUUUUUAAGGUAUAUUAUUUUUUAGUAUGUCAGAUCAAGGUUUAAUUUAUAGUUAAGUAGAAAUGGAUUACAAUAUUUUUUAUGUAAAUGGAUUUUGUUAUUUAAUUAACUUUUGAAGGUGGAUUUAAAUGUAAUUAUUUUUAUAAGGUUUAAGUGAAUAAAGCUCUAAAAUGUGUACAUAUCGCCCGUCACUCUCAUAUUUUAAUGAG